GAUGAAGAACGCAGCGAAAUGCGAUAAGUAAUGUGAAUUGCAGAAUUCAGUGAAUCAUCGAAUCUUUGAACGCACAUUGCGCCCGCCAGUAUUCUGGCGGGCAUGCCUGUUCGAGCGUCAUUACAACCCUCAGGCCCCCGGGCCUGGCGUUGGGGAUCGGCGGAGCCCCCCGUGGGCACACGCCGUCCCCCAAAUGCAGUGGCGGUCCCGCCGCAGCUUCCAUCGCGUAGUAGCUAACACCUCGCGACUGGAGUGCGGCGCGGCCACGCCGUAAAACACCCAACUCUUCUGAAGUUGACCUCGAAUCAGGUAGGAAUACCCGCUGAACUUAAGCAUAUCAAUAAGCGGAGGA
rnacentral:misc_RNA from 1 species